CAUAACCUUUAGCUAAACCAGUAUUAAAGGCAACGCCUGCCCAGUGAAUAAUUAAACGGCCGCGGUACCCUAACCGUGCAAAGGUAGCGUAAUCAUUUGUCUAUUAAUUGUAGACCUGUAUGAAAGGCAUAAUGAGGGUUUAACUGUCUCUUUUAGUAAAUCAAUUAAACUGAUCUCCUAGUCCAAAAGCUAGGAUACCAACAUAAGACCAGAAGACCCUGUGAAACUUUAACUAAAAUAUUAAAGCCUAUAAUAACUACUUUAGGUUGGGGCGACCUUGGAAAAUAAAAGAACUUCCACACACAUAUUAUAUAAUAAUAUAUAGCCGGCCAACAAGCCUACAACGACCCAGCACAGCUGACAAUUGAACCAAGCUACUCCAGGGAUAACAGCGCUAUCUUCUUCAAGAGCCCAUAUCAAAAAGAAGGUUUACGACCUCGAUGUUGGAUCAGGACAUCCUGAUGGUGCAACCGCUAUUAAGGGUUCGUUUGUUCAACGAUUAAUAGUCCUACGUGAUCUG
rnacentral:rRNA from 1 species